GAUGAACGCUAGCUACAGGCUUAACACAUGCAAGUCGAGGGGCAGCAUGUUGGUUGCUUGCAGCCAACGAUGGCGACCGGCGCACGGGUGAGUAACGCGUAUCCAACCUGCCCUUGUCCAUCGGAUAACCCGUCGAAAGGCGGACUAACACGAUAUGCAGUCCACAGCAGGCAUCUAACGUGGACGAAAUGUGGAGGAGAAGGAUGGGGAUGCGUCUGAUUAGCUUGUUGGCGGGGUAACGGCCCACCAAGGCGACGAUCAGUAGGGGUUCUGAGAGGAAGGUCCCCCACAUUGGAACUGAGACACGGUCCAAACUCCUACGGGAGGCAGCAGUGAGGAAUAUUGGUCAAUGGGCGAGAGCCUGAACCAGCCAAGUAGCGUGCAGGAUGACGGCCCUAUGGGUUGUAAACUGCUUUUAUACGGGGAUAAAGUGAGCCACGUGUGGCUUAUUGCAGGUACCGUAUGAAUAAGGACCGGCUAAUUCCGUGCCAGCCGCCGCGGUAAUAC
rnacentral:rRNA from 1 species